rnacentral:rRNA from 1 species
ACGCGAAGAACCUUACCUAGGCUCGACAUGCAUUGAGAACUGUUAGAGAUAACAGGUCCCGCAAGGGCUUUGCACAGAUGGUGCAUGGCUGUCGUCAGCUCGUGUCGUGAGAUGUUGGGUUAAGUCCCGCAACGAGCGCAACCCUCGUCUUGUGUUGCCAACAGGUAAUGCUGGGAACUCACAAGAGACUGCCGGGGUCAACUCGGAGGAAGGUGGGGACGACGUCAAGUCAUCAUGCCCCUUAUGUCUAGGGCUGCACGCAUGCUACAAUGGCCGAUACAAAGGGCUGCGAUACCGCAAGGUGGAGCGAAUCCCAUAAAGUCGGUCUCAGUUCGGAUUGAGCUCUGCAACUCGACCUCAUGAAGUUGGAGUUGCUAGUAAUCGCGGAUCAGCAACGCCGCGGUGAAUACGUUCCCGGGCCUUGUACACACCGCCCGUCACGUCACGAAAGUCGGUAACAC